CUUCCGGGGAGCGCUGCAAGUUGUGGUUGUGAUCCAGCCAUGCCCCAGGCCCGGAAUUCUCAACGGCGCUCACCUGAU
rnacentral:ncRNA from 2 species